rnacentral:rRNA from 1 species
GACAGAGGAUGCAAGCGUUAUCCGGAAUGAUUGGGCGUAAAGCGUCUGUAGGUGGCCAGAAAAGUCCGCUGUGAAAACUCGAGGCUCAACUUCGAGCUGUCGGUGGAAACUUUCUGGCUAGAGUCCGGAAGAGGAGAAUGGAAUUCCUGGUGUAGCGGUGAAAUGCGCAGAUAUCAGGAAGAACACCCGUGGCGAAGGCGGUUCUCUGGGACGGUACUGACGCUGAGACGCGAAAGCGUGGGGAGCGAACAGG